AGCCUCCAUUUUACUCUCUUCGGUCGAACCUCGACCCUCCGUCUACCAUGCCGAUCCACCGUGAUGAACGAAGAUUAGCCUGUUCGAGCCUCAAGGUGGUUUCCUUUCCGCCUUCUACUCCCCUCGGACUCCGAUUUCAGCGAAGCAGAGGAGAUCUCACGGCGUAUUUACGAGGUGAAGUUUCAUUUCCCUCUUUUCCUUUUUAUUGUCUUAGAUGCGAAAAAUAAGGAAAGAAAACCGAAAGGAAUAGAUCAAGUGAAAAAUAAACAAUAAAUCCAGAGAUUCAAAGAACGAGAAUCACCUUCCUCUUUUUUCCUUGAUUUGUAUUCAAAAUCUGUGUGUUUUUUUGUGCGUAUUCUCUUUUUACAACGAUUACAAAUCCUAGCUUUUAUAUCCGGAAAGAAGAAAGAAAAAAAAAGAAUAAAAAGAAUUCGACAUUUGUUCUUUGUUUUUUUUUCUGCUCUAUGCUGCUGUUGCGUUUGUCUUGUUCACAGGUACGGAGCAAGGCGCGUGUACGGGGGUCGUAUUAGCGCUUGGCGUGGGUGUACGAGGGCUGUUGACGUGGAGGCACGAGCGUACGGCGCUAGGGCUGGGGCUCGUCUGUGGUUGCGGCGCGGAAGUGAUGAGGACGCUCUAGGGUUUCCUUUCUCAGAACACUGGGCCUAACGGGCUAGUAAUUGAUAUUGGGCUGUAGGAUAUUAGUUAUUGGGUCAUUGGUUAUGUAACUGGGCUUUAUUGUUGGCCAUGUAAUUAGACUGUUAUAAAACUUGGGUUUAAAAAUUUUUUGUUUAUUGAUUUAUCUUGUAUUUUGUUUUGGGUUUUUUGUGUUUGUUUGGGCCGGGCCAAUUUGGCCCAUUACAGCUGCCCCUUUUUGCUCAUUGUUGUGGAACGAUAAUAGAGCAAAGAUUAUAAAUGGGCCAAUUUUGCCAGGGCCCGCUGAGCUUCGACUUCUUGGUGCUUCUUUUCUUCAAGUAGCCUGAAUAUGCUACGCUACAACUUCAGGGAGACAUGGUUUGUGUGUUUCUAUCCUACUCUACUGCAACUUCAGAGAGAUAAGGAUUGCGACUUUGAUUUUGCUCCACUGCAACUUCAGGGAGACGAAAUCUUGCAAUCUUCAGCCUGUUGCCCUACUACUUAGGGGGUUUAAGGCUCGUUUUCUCCGAUCUGCUCCACUGGAGACGAGAUCUGCAAUCGUCAGCCUACUCCACUACAACUUUAGGGAGCUAGGGCGAUAGUCUAAAUCUGCUUCACUGCAACAUCAGGAAGCCUAGAUUCACCGUCUUUGAUCUGUUCCACUACAAUCCCAGGGAAACAAAAUCUAUAUUUCUCAGCCUACUCCACUACAACUUUAGGGAGCUAGGUUAGUGACUUAAAUCUGCUUCACUGCAACUUCAGGAAGUCAAGAUUCGUCAUCUUCGAUCUGCUCCACUACAACUUCAGGGAAACGAGAUCUAAAAUUUCAACCUACUCCACUGCAACUUUAGGGAGCUAGGUUAGUGACUUAAAUCUGGUUCACUGCAACUUUAGGAAGCCAAGAUUCAUCAUCUUCGAUCUGCUCCACUGUAACUUCAGGGAAACAAUAUCUAAAAUUUCAACCUACUCCACUACAACUUUAGGGAGCUAGGUUGGUGGUUUUAAUCUGCCUCACUGCAACUUCAGGAAGCCAAGAUCCGUCGCCUUCGAUCUGCUCCAUUGCAACUUCAGAUAAACAAGAUCUAAAAUUUCAACCUACUCCAUUACAACUUUAGGGAGCUAGGUUGGUGGCUUUAAUCUGCCUCACUGCAACUUCAGGAAGCCUAGAUUCGCCGUCUUUGAUAUGCUUCACUGUAACUUCAAGGAAACAAGAUCUGUAGGAUCAGCCAAUGUCGCUACACUGUCUUCUAAAGACAUGAUUUGUAGAAUUGGUUUCCUGUAUCUUUGUAUGUCAAAUAAUUAGGAUGCUAUGAUCGAGAUGAAUCUAAUGUCCUUAACUAGAUGUGGUGUUUAUGUCAAAUAAUUAGAAUGCUAUGAUCGAAAUAAAUUAAGUGCUCCUAUCUACAUGAAUGAUUAUGAAUGUAGAAAUGUCAUGAGAGUGAUUCCUUUUUAAACGCUUAAGGUGUCAUUGCUCAUGAUUCAUUCGGGUUCUAUCUUUGAUGUGCUAUCGCGUCUUCUUGCUUAGCUGUUAUUUCUGACAGAAAAUUUGAAGAAAUAAUCCUAAUUUGUGACUACUCUUUUUCCAAUGUUUUCCAACUUUGAACCUGGUUAGUUCUGACUAGUGACCCCGUUUCAGGUCCUUUUACUAUUUAGAAACUUUUCCAGAGUAAUAUGCAUAACAUCUUGUGUGUAGAUAUUACAUGUUCAAAAAUCAUGAUUUCAACAAAAAUGCUCGAAAGAGAUUAUCAUAAUGGACCAAUGGAAUUUUUUAAGCAAAAUUUUGAUGUGAAUACAUAGGAAUACGAAUCUGAUAAGGUGCAAAAAAAUGAGAAAAAAGGUGCCCCAAAUAUCGCAGCACGAGUUUCACUAUUCUAAUUUCUCAAAGGCUCCUUCGAACCAAAUGUGUAUUCAAGAGAUUCUGCGUAUUUUGUUGAUGCUCCAAGGUGUACUGUUUUUCUGUCUUGUUGAUUUUGGAAGGACAAUAUUUGAGCUGCCCGUUUUCGGGUUUUUAACUCAAAAGCCCCUUUGGUUCCAAAGUGCCCUUUGCAGGUUUUCACCUUGGCCUCUCCCGUUUUUUUUUUUAGAUUUCAGAGCGCCCUUUGCGGGUUUUCACUAUGGCCGCCCUUUCUUCAGGUAAAAUACUUAUUGACCGAAUCCGAUUUUACAGGAUUGGAAAAGUUUUUACCGUUCAUCUUGGCUAGAAUCAAUGCUCCUCCAGAGAAAGCUUUCUUCACCAUGUAAGGCCCUUCCCAAUUAGGCAUCCAUUUCCCUUGAAAGUCCUUAUGUAUGGGAAGGAUCUUUUUCAAAACCAAUUCUCGUUCGUGGAAUUCUCUAGGGCAAACCUUUUUGUCAAAAGCCCGCAUCAUUCGCUUUUGGUACAUCUGACCAUAACGGAUAGCUCUUAACCUCUUUUCCUCAAUUAGGUUCGAUUGAUCAUAUCGAGACUGGAUCCACUCGGCUUCUUCUAACUUUAACUUCGACAACAUUCGAAGAGACGGGAUCUCGACUUCGAUUGGCAACACCGCUUCUAUUUCGUAGACCAGGGAGAAAAGGGUUGCCCCGGUUGAAGCUCUGACUGAUGUUCGAUACGCAAAGAGGGAAAAUGGUAGCUUCUCAUGCCAGUCUCUGUAGGUUUCGGUCAUCUUUCCCACAAUCUUUUUAAUGUUUUUAUUGGCCGCUUCCACUGCCACAUUCAUCUUCGGGGGAUAUGGUGACGAGUUGUGAUGUCUGAUCUUGAAUUGACUGCAGACUUCCGCUAUAGUACUGUUGUUCAAGUUUAAUGUAUUGUUAGAUAUGAUCCUCUCCGGUAUUCCAUAUCGACAUAUGAUCUCUUUUUUCAGAAACUUGCUCACUACCGAUUUUGUCACACUAGCAUACGAAGCAGCUUCUACCCAUUUGGUGAAAUAGUCGAUAACCACGAAGAUGAAACGAUGCCCAUUAGAAGCUUUCGGUGAUAUUGGUCUAAUCACAUCCAUGCCCCACAUAGAGAAUGGCCAUGGAGAAACCAUGACAUGCAGCGGUGAAUGAGGUAUAUGAAUUUUGUCUCCAUAGAUUUGGCACUUAUGGUAUCUCUUAGCGUAGUUGACACAGUCCCCUUCGAUGGUGGACCAAUAGUACCCGAAUCUCAUAAUUUGCCUGGCCAUUGUAAAGCCAUUAGCGUGUGUCCCACAGACACCUCCGUAGACUUCUUCCAAGAUUUUCUUAGCCUCUACAGCGUCUACACAUCUUAGUAGCACUUGAUCCUUUCUUCUUUUGUACAGGAUAUCCCCAUCUAGGACAUAGUCGAUGACCAAUCUUCUUAGCGUUCUUUUGUCAUUCUCGCUUGUCUGGUCCAGGUAUUCACGAUUCUUCACGUAUUGCAAUAUAUCGUGAUACCAAGGGUGAUCAUCUUUCUCUUCAACUUCUUCAAUAUUGUAACAGUGGGCCGGAACUUCAUAAAUGCUCAUCCGGAUGGGUUUGACAUCUUCUUGUUUGUUCACCUUGAUCAUGGAGGCUAGGGUAGCCAAAGCAUCAGCCAUCUGAUUUUCGUCUCGUGGAAGGUAGUGGAAGGUGAUGUCAUCAAACUCUUUAAUCAAUUCAAGGACCAGCUUCCGAUAAUCGAUUAACUUGGGGUCUCUAGUCUCCCAUUCUCUCUUGAGUUGAUAAAUCACUAGCGUAGAAUCCCCAUACACCUCUAGCACCUUAAUCUUGCGUUCUAUGGCUGCACGGAUUCCCAUGAUGCAUGCCUCGUAUUCUGCCAUGUUAUUCGUACAAUCAAAAUCCAAUUUACUAGUGAAUGGAUAAUGAUCUUCGUUUGGGGAUGCUAAGACAGCCCCGAUUCCAUUGCCCACAGCAUUUGAUACCCCAUUGAAGUUCAAUUUCCAAGGAAGUUCUUCCAGAGCACUUUCUUCAGUGGUAGCAAUACACAUUAGGUCUUCAUUCGGGAAGUCGAAGUUCAAAGGCUCGUAGUCUUCCAAAGCUCUACUGGCCCGAAAGUCUACUAUUGCACUUCCUUUUACUGCUUUCUGGUUCACAUAAACUAUGUCGAAUUCAGAAAGUAGAAUCUGCCAUCGCGCCAUCCUUCCAUUCAAGGCUGUUGACUCCAUCAUGUACUUUAAAGGGUCCAACUUUGAUAUGAGCCAAGUGGUGUGAUACAACAUAUAUUGCCUCAGCCUGCGGGUUGUCCAGAUUAGGGCACAACACAACUUCUCUACCGGCGGGUACCUUGUCUCACAUUCCGUGAACUUUUUACUACGAUAGUAAAUAGCUUUCUCUUUCCUUCCUGACUCAUCAUGCUGACCCAAUACGUAUCCCAUGGAGUUUCCGAAUACUACCAAAUACAGUAUCAAUGGGAUAUCAGGGUUAGGUGGCAUCAGCACCGGGGUGUUGGAUAAGUACUGUUUGACCUUGUCGAAAGCCCUUUGGCAUUCUUCAUCCCAUUCACCUGGGUUAUGUUUCUUGAGGAGGCGAAAGACAGGGUCACAUUUCUCGGUUAGUUGUGAAAUGAACCGAGCGAUGUAAUUUAAUCUUCCUAGAAAGCCUCGAACUUCUUUUUGAGUGCGUGGCGGGGAUAGCUCUUGUAUGGCUUUAACUUUGUCCGGAUAAAUCUCGAUCCCUUUCUCACUAACCACGAAUCCGAGUAACUUUCCAAACUUGGCUCCAAAGGUACAUUUGGCGGGGUUGAGUUUUAGCUGAAACUUCCUCAACCUCAAGAACAAUUUUCUUAGGACUUGUAUGUGCUCCUUCUUUGUUCGAGACUUAGCUACCUCGACUUCUUUAUGCAUCAUGUCGUGAAAAAAGGUUACCAUGGCUCUUUGAUAAGUUGCCCCCGCAUUCUUCAGUCCAAACGGCACCACCUUGUAGCAGAACGUGCCCCACAUAGUUACAAAUGUAGUUUUCUCCAUAUCUUUAGGAUGCAUCUUGAUCUGGUUAUAUCCCGAAAAACCGUCCAUGAAUGAAAACAGUGAGUGUCCCGUCCUGUUGUCCACUAGGGUGUCGAUAUGAGGUAGUGGGAAAUUGUCUUUGGGCUGGCUUUAUUCAAAUCUCUGUAGUCCAUACACAUUCGCACUUUUCCAUCUUUCUUAGGGACAGGGACGAUGUUGGCUACCCAAUCUGAGUAUUUUACCACCUUUAGAAAUCCAGCGUCAAACUGCUUUCGAACCUCUUCCUUUAUUUUUAGCAAGACAUCGGGCCUCAUUCUUCGGAGUUUUUGCUGAACUGGCUUACACUCUUCUUUUAUUGGAAGUCGAUGCACCACGAUGUCAGUGUCCAACCCGAGCAUAUCUUGGUAUGACCAUGUGAAGACGUCUUUGAAUUCUUGAAGUAAUUCAAUGAGGUCUCGCUUCAUUUCCACAGUGAUACAUGUUCCGAUCUUCACCUCUUGUCCUUCUCCUAAGCUCACAAUUUCGAUUGAUUCUUUGUGAGGUAGGAUUUGUUUCUCGUCUUGUUCUACCAUCCUCAACAAAUCAGGAGAUAGGUUACAGCCUUGGUCAUCUUCAAAAUCCUGAGAAUCAUCCAUACACACAUCUUGCUCGAAAGGAAAUUCUGAGUCGCUAGCAGUGUCACUCGUAUCAUUAAUAUCUAGGGACCUGUUAUGAGGACGAAGGCAGAUACAAAGAAUCAAAAGAAUUCGAAACAUUUAUUUACGUGAAAUGAUUAUGAAUGACGAAUGAAAUAAUAUUUAGAAGAAUGUUUCAAGAACAAAAGAAUUCGAAAGUAAUCAUUUGUAUGGUUAUGAAUGGAAUUGAAAGGACGAGAUAACAUUUGCUCAAAAAUGAUAAUAACCAUGCAUUUUAUUGAAAUAUCGUUUUUAAACAUCGGCCUAUUUCACAAAAGAUUCUUAUCACUCCUAGGCCUAGAGCAAUAAGUGUGUUUUGGACAUUACUCUGAAUUCGUUCUAAAAACUACAGGGAUCUCUUCCGUAGUCCAGUUGUCCAAAACACUUCCAGGCGUGUAGGGGCAAAUGCCCGAUAAAUUUUCUCUUCCAGUCUCCUCUUCGUACAUGACGUUGAUGUCUAAACUUUCCAGGCUUUCUUCUAUAGCUCCCGUCAUUGGUGUGUCUCUCUCGGGAUGAAUGAUUCCCCCAGACACAAAUGUUUUCGAUAUGUGGGGGAAUGUCAUUGGUCUCCACUUGAUUUCCUCCCCCGUUAAUCGAGCUCUCCUUCUUUCUUACUUCUUUUCCAGCUCCCUUCUCCUUUGUUUCACAUCCGGCUUAAAUCCUAAGCCGAAGCGGUCUCUCUUUUCUUUCAGCAUUGGCGUUUCGAUCCUUCCUUGUAGAUGUCUCUCAAGUUCCUUUCCGGGUAGGGCCCCUUUUCCAAUCGUCAACUGGAGGCUCAUCCUCGUGGUUUUGGACAAUUUUGGCACCAGAAUUUUGCUUCCCUCGGCGAUGAACGUCGCGUUAACAAAUUCCAAAGAUCGAAAUGAGAAUUCGAUUGCUUCGCCAUCUGUCUCCAAAUAGGGUGCAUUAUUGCUCAUAGUUGCAAUAAUAUCUUCUUCAGCCUUAAUCGUUAUCAACCUCCCCUCCGACACCAGCUUCAAUUUUUGAUGCAACGAGGAAGGCACUGCCCCAGCUGAAUGUAUCCAGGGCCUCCCCAAUAAGUAAUUAUAUGAGGGCUUGAUGUUCAUUACAAGGAAAUCCACGUCAUAUGUGUUUGGCCCAAUCUGAAGGGGUACCUCGAUUCUGCCCAUCACCUUUCUCUCCGUGCCAUCGAAUGCCUUCAAGAUGUUCUGGCACUCCUUCAUGUGAGAGCUACCCUUUACAGUGUAUGGUGAUAUGCAGAGCUUUAGUCGACCCCAUGCCCCCGGGUGGUAUCUCAUCGUCAUUAAAUAAGAUAUAGUUAUCGGAACUAAUGUUGUUAACGGAGAUAUCAUUGGGAACAUACAUUUCAUUCAAGACCUUCAUUAGCGCGCUGCGAUGGACUUCUGAACUCAGAAGCAAGGCCAACACCGAAAUACGGGCUGGUUUUUUACAUAGCUAUUCAACCACACUGUAUUCGCUAUGCUUUAAGAAUUUUAAAAACUCCUUGGCCUCGUCUUCGUUAACUGGCUCAUUAACAAGUUUGGUUACUUUUCCCUUCAUUUUCUCGACCACCUAGGCUUUUCCUUUUGUGGGCUGUUCCUCCUCGUUCACCAUAUCAUAACGUCUCCCGCUACGUGUAUAGGAACCUCUGUCUUGAUCCCCUCUUGAAGCACCAACCGAGCACUCUUUUCCCGGCAUCGUCACACUACAAUCAUAAUUCCAUGGGACCUUUUUGUUGUCUUUGUAAUGAAAGACUGCAGGUCUUUGGAUUAUGACCCUCGGUGGCAUUUGUACUCUAGCUUCAUUAUUUUUGGGUCUCGAAAUGAUCACCACGGGAUAAUUAGGUGUUUGAUUCUGCGCCUUUGAUUCUCCCUCGGAUGCGCAUACAUUUCCCUCUAUGGGGCUUUUAGCUUCUUCAUAGAAUUCCAUUUCUUUGUUAUCUAUCAUGUUCUGCACGAAGGCCCUAAAUUCCACACAUUCUUGAAUUUCAUGCCCCACCUCGUCAUGAAACUCACAGUAGUUUCUCUCUUCUUCGAGUUCUUCCCUUGGAUCCAAUGCUAUCAAUCCUCUCUUGGUCAUCUCUUUCCAUACCCGCCUCAACGGGGUCUUGAUUUCUGCCACUUCAUACUUGGUCUUCUUGUUCAAGCCUUCACUUAUCCCAUUCACUCCUUGGUCGGUAUGAUUGGGGAGUGGGUUUCCUGCGACAUUGGGCAUGGCUGGGUCAUCAAAUCUCAUGAUUCCCACUUUAAUGAGUCUUUCGACCUCUUUCUUAAACGCAGUGCAAUUUUCGAUUGAGUGACCGGUAAUUUCCGUGUGGUACUCACAUUGGGUGUUCGCGUUAUACCAUUUGAGAUACGGGGGUUGCAGUGGCUCCAGGUAGAAAGGGGAUACCACAUGAGCGUUGAACAGGUUCUGGUACAACUCCCUAUACGACAUGGGUAUAGGGGUGUAUUGUGGCCUUUCUGUGUUCUUCCUCGCAUUGGAUUCUUGCCUUACAGAGCUUUGUUGAUUGGUAGUCACCGUUUUGGGUUGAUUUAGGGUAAUUGACUUGGGCUGCCCCUUGUUGAUUGUGCUCGUGUUGUUCACUUCAUUGCCUUUUCUCCUCGGGCUGACUUCCUAACACUCUCUCCCGAUUCUAUAUUGCCGCUCCUUACAGCAUUUUCAAUCAUUUCUCCCGUCAUCACUAUGUCGGAGAAGCUCUUGGUGGCGCUUCUCAACAUAUGAGUGAUAAAAGGGGCCUUCAAGGUAUUUAUAAAGAGCAUCGUUGUCUCCUUUUCUAGAAGUGGCGGCUGAACUUGUAUGGCCACCUCCCUCCAUCUUUGUGUGUACUGCCUGAAGCUUUCAUUUGAUUUCUUCUCCAUAUUCUGAAGAGUGAUUCUGUCAGGGGUCAUGUCUGUCACGUGAUUGUAUUGCUUCAUAAAGGCUUGGGCUAGGUCCUUCCACGAGUUAAUCUUAGAGCGGCUUAAUUGGUUGUACCACUUAGACGUCGCCCCGACCAGACUAUCUUGAAAGUAAUGGAUUAAUAACUAAUCGUUGUUAACAUAUCCCGUCAUUCGCCUACGGAACAUAGUGAUGUGGGCUUCAGGGUAGCUCGUUCCAUUGUAUUUCUCGAAUUCGGGCAUUUUGAAUUUAAGGGGAAGGACUAAAUCUGGGACUAGACUCAGGUCUUUGGCAUCAAUCCCUUGAUGAUGAUCCGCGCUUUCCAUGGCUUUGAAUUUCUCCUCGAGCCAUCUACACCGUUCUUCCAAUUGUUUUUGCAAAUCCAUCCUCGCCUUUUCUUCUUCAGUAAUUUCAUCCAAGUCGGAAACGGGCGGAUAGUUCGGGUUGUUAACAAAGUUAGAGCCUGAGCCGGUUUGGAAAUUCAUCGGUAUUGAAGCUCCGACCUGAACCUGAUGGGGCAUGAUUGUGACAGAUGGUUUCGGUAGAUUAAUCUCGGGCUUCAUCGGUACAUGUGUCGGAGUGAAGCCUGGGGGGUAUCGAGGAUCCUCGUUAGUUUUUUCAACUUUGUCCAUAGGGCCCUUUCCCUUAUCCGUUCCUCCAAUAGCAGUUGGGAUAACUGACUCAUCAUUUCCCUCUCGGACUCCAUCAUUUGCUCUUUCAUCUCUCGCUGAAUCUUGGCUAGUUGCUCUUACAUCUGAGACUGCAUUUGUUCUUGCAUGUCUUUUUGCAUCUGCUCCAAUUUCUCUAGUCUCUUAUCCAUUGAUUUUUUCCUUGUAUCGUAGGGGUGCGUGGUUGGUUGGUUUUCGUUGGUUUCCAGGUUACUGAAAUAAUUUUUAAUUAAUUAAUUAGAAAACUUUUAUGGCCUUUAAUGCAUGAUGACGUGAUGUAAUGCAAAUGCAUGAAUGCAAAGGAGACAUCAAUUUUGAUUCAACUGCCCUUAGAAAAUUUCACUUAAAAAUAAAAUAUUUUACAUAAAGUUGAGUUACAAAUAAAAUUUCACUCUAAUACUCAAAGUCCUAAUUUUCCUAAGCAAUGAGCCCAGCUCCUGUCUGCGCUUCGACUCCAACUCAUAUUUCACGUUUAGUGUGUCUGCCUGAACCACUAGAGUUUGUAAGUAGUCCGCUACCUUCCGGAUCUAGGUUAUGGCUUCCCCCAUAAAGUAAUCUCUAUUUCUAACUUGGUCUUGCGCGUGGUGAAGCUACUCCUUCCAACGAUCUUCGUUUGCCUCGAAAAACUGGAUCCGCAUCUCACAAUUUUGCAGUGACGCCUCUAACUCUUCUAUUCUUCCUUUCAUUUCUUGUAUUCUGCUCAAGCUUGCCCUCAAUUCUGUCGCAGUGUUGCGGUUUCGGUACUGAUGUAGGGACUUCUCAAGUUCUGCCACUCUAGCCCUUAAUUCCCCUCGCUUAUUUCUGCUUUCCGACAGACUUUUCUCCAAAUAUUCGUUUCGUGCCUGAGCUUCUCAGAAUUUCCUUUCCCACCGGUCGGUAUUGGCCUUUUCUUCCCGAAUUUUAUGGCGCCAUUGUUUGGAAGUCUUACCUAACCCCGCAGUUCUCAUAGACAUGCGCAACUUCUUAUAGUCAGUCUUCAAGCUGUCUAGGUCUUCUUCGGCCUUAGUUUUCCCUUUUUUCCACUUUUCAGCUUCUGACCUCUGGACAACAGCUUCUAACCUUAGGUGCAUCUUUUCUUCCUCCAAUUGUUCGAUCUUCUUCCCAAGCUCCGAACUCUUCUUCUCAAAAUCUUGCCUUAUAAUUUCCAAUUCUGAUGGGGCGACUUGUAAUUGUUCCCCGAUAGGUCGAGCAUUCUCUAAGCUUGGCCUAGGAAUAUUAUCAUUAAUCCUCUUCUUAAACCACUCGCUAUACUCGGGCGUUACCAUGGCACCGAUGGCUAACCUCUUCAUCCAACAAGUUUGCUUCCAAGCAUCCGAUAACUCUUGAACUCUCUUCUUAUAGUGAGCAUCUUUAAACGAGAAUUCACUCUGAGCAAGUCCGUGGGUCGUGGGUACAAACUGCCUCGACUUAAAUUGCCUCAAUGCUAGCAGUGGAGUAUACCGGGUAGCUCCCCAAAUUCCUAACAACGGCACCCAAUCAAAGUUACCAUAUCGGUACACGAUCUCAUCAGGAACCAUCCAAUAAGCUCUCCACUCGAUAUCCUCCUCCUUGAGGUUCUGAAAAAUAUCCAUCCACUUCUCCUCCGAGAUAUCCUCCCUCCUCUGUAUAGCUGCCUCUUCUUUCAAAGGGGAAUAACCUUCGGAAAAGACUCGAUAGGAAACCUUGUCUACCUUCCAAAAGUGCCCAUGAAACCAUACCAUCAAUAGUUGAGCACAUCCAAUAAAUCGCCCCUCGCCUGUCUUCUGACAGGAGCUCAAAGAUCUGAAAAUUUCUGCCAAUAUUACCGGUACCGGUGUGAUUCCCUUUUUAAGGCGAUCGAACAAGUCGAUGACUGCCUCGUCCACGUGCCUCAAAGCCUUAAGAAAGAUCACUAAUCCGUAGAUACUUAAGGAAAACAUAUCGACCCUCUUUCUUUCAUCUGGAUGCAUCAAGAUCAAAUCUCGUAAAUUUUCCCAAUGGAUACAUUUGCUAUCUCCUUUUUGCUGAAUCCGAGCGGUGACCCGAGGCUCGCUCAUCCCAGAAAUGCUCAUCAGUUUCUUCACGAAAGCCUGAUUACUAAAAACCCGGGCAUAAGUCUUCUGGACCUGAAUCUUUGGACACCUAAGCAGCGUAGUGUAUUCCUCCAUAGUAGGUACCAAAUUCACUUCUCCAAAAGUGAAACACUUGUACGCAGAAUUCCAAAACUGCACCAGGGAUCGGAACAAAUGCUUAUCCACUCUAAUGUUUAGCAGGUAGGAUAUGUCACCGUAGUUUUGGUAAAACAACUGCUUGAUCCCUUCAUCCCAACUAACCCAAAUGUCUCUCAACUCUUGCAGCUCAUUCUGUACAACAUUGACGCGAGUGAAAUCCUGCAGCUCCGAUACAUACCCUUCUGCCAAGCUAUCCCCCCUCUCAGAUUGUAGCCUCUCGGACCAAGCACUAACGGCUGCAUUAUCCUCGACUUUACUAAAAAAUUCAUUCUCCAUGUCAAAUUUUCUAACUUAGUAAUUGAAUGCAGAUUAACGCCUCCUUUAAUAUGCAAUGUCAUGCAAAAAGAUAAUCAAAACAAAACACGGGUUAGUAUCAAAUAAUAGCGAUAAAAUGCAAGUAUAUAAACAAUAAUUAUAGUGCAUAUACGGGUAAUUACUAAGGCUCGACACAGCUUUACCCAAGGAUAGCUCCUAAAGUUCACUAGAUGUGGUUUAGUUCUAGGAAAAAGGGUACCCGAACCAGCAGAUUCCUCAAUCCUCACCCAUUAUAGGCUCAUAUAGAUCGAGUUUGAUUCGGGGGGAUACAUUUUCCUAUGACCAUGCGGAGAUGAAAAUCUCACGAAAUCAUAGGUACGGAUGUACCCCGGAAGCAAUCCACUAGCCCAUGCGGAGGUGAAAACCUCACGAAAGCGUAGCUUCUUACUCCCACUUAGAAGGUGUGACCAGAAUGGUCAUGCAAUGAAAUGCAGUGCUAUUCUACAAGACCCGCACAAACAUACAAUCAAAUGCAAUCGAAAGAUACAUGAUUUUUAAAACAGAUUUUGAUUUUUGACAAAAGGACAGUAGAUAAUCGAAUUUUAUGGCUCGACUCAAGUUCAGUCCCCAGUGGAGUCGCCAAGCUGUCGAAACCAUCCCUCGAUUAAAAAAAUUUUAAUAUUUUAAAUUUGAUGAAAAUACGAGGGGGAUCGACUUUUUGGAAAAUAGAAAUAUGGAGUCGCCACCGAUCUUCUAUUUUAGUGUGAUCGGAACACUUAAAAGAUAAAGUUAAUUUAAUAAAACAUUUUUGGUUUAUUAAAAUACGAUUUUGGUCUUACGAAAAUGUGAGAAAAUGGGUUCAGGAGUCGGUUACGCAUGAGGAAGGAUUAGCACCCUCACUACGCCCAAAAUUGGUACCAAAUCAAUUAAAUACUGUCCUUAUGUCAAAGCUUAAAAAAAAGUUUUUGAAAUGUGGUUCUUAUCAAUAACGUUUAAAUAACCCGAGUGGUUUACCAAAAUCUUAUUGUUUUGACGUCCGAAAGUCUACAAUUUGAAAUUAACAAAAGGAUGCCCAACAGUUUGGUCCAACGAAAAAUCAAAACCCAGCACACUAGGGCACGAUUCCUCGAAUUUCCAAACAUUGUCCAUUGUCUUACCUUAGAAAAUAAGGGUGAAAUCUCGAAGGGAUCUUUGAUGGUUUUGAGCAAAUGAAAAAGUGCAACCCAGCACGAUAGGGCUCAAUUCUUAAAUUGCCAAACAUCGAACAUCACCUUCGUUUUGAAAGGUUUUUAAAAUUAUGAAUAAAGACCUAAAGGAAUACUCGAUUAUUUUGAAUAAACAAGAAAUCACAACCCAGCACGAUAAGGCAUGAUUCCCGAAUUGUCAAACAUCAAGUAUUGCCCUCGUUUUAAAGGAUUUUUAGAAGAGCCGAGUGAAAUUUUGAAGGGAUAUUUGAUUGUUUUAAACAAUCGAGAAAUUGCUACCCAACACGUUAGGGCACGAUCCCACGAAUUGCCAAAUACCAGAUAUUACCUUCGUUUUAGGGAUUUUAAAAGACACGAGCUAAAUUUUAAAGUGAUAUUCGAUUAUUUUGAGCAAAUACGAAAUUGCAACCCAACACGAUAGUGCAUGAUUUUGCGAAUUGCCAAACAUCAAAUCUCAUCUUCGUUUAAGGGAUUUUAAAAGAUGUGAAUGGAAUUUCGAAGGAAAAUUCGAUUAUUUUGAGCAAAUGCGAAAUUGCAACCCAACACGUUAGGGCACGAUUCCGCGAAUUGCCGAACAUCAAAUUUCGUCUUCGUUUUGAAGAAUUUUAAAUGAAUACUUAUAACACUAACUUAAAACAUAUUAAUUCGAUUUGAAAUGAGAUGAAAUUAAUCGUAAAAUUUAGAUUUUGUAAAACCACAUUUCAUAAACCAAGUAGAAAAUGAUGAUAUGGGGUAAUAGACACAUACGUGAUACGAUCAAUUAACAAACUAACAAUUAAAUAUAGCUAACCUAAAAAAUGCAACCCGGUUACAAAUAAUGCAUGGAGAAUGAUUGAUAUAAUAAUACAAUGGCGAAAAUGAUAACAAUCACACAAGCAAAACAAUACAUACAAUAAUAUGCCACGAUAAUGUACAUAGCAUGAUAUAGGAUAACCAAUGCAAGAUAUAAAAAUAACAUAGCAAUUAGAAGCCAAUGUGCUAUAAAAUGGUUUUAAAAUAAUAACGAAUAAAUGGACCCAUGUAUAUAGGUUGACAAAUUUGUAUGAAAACUAGGGAUAGCUAUAUGAUUUUCGGAAUAGAUAUCAUAGAAUAAAAGUUUGAAUCGAAUUGCAUGUAAAAUAUUUUAAACACAAAUACAUUUAAAAGUUGACAAAUUACAUGAUGAUUUAAAUAAUAUAUAAUAUAAAAGAAUAAUAAUGAAGAUAUAUGACGAGACAUAACGCAUAAAAUAGAUUUAUAAAACAUAUGUACAUGUAAAUAGCUUUAAAAAUAAUCAUUAGAUUAAUAAAAAACUUUAACUUAGUCUAAAAAGUAUAUACAUGCAUAAGGAAAAUAUUUGUAUAGCAAAAGAGUUGUAGGUAGGAAAACCUAUUAAAGUAAUAAUAUCGAUAUAUACGUAUGUAUAUAUAUAACUUUUGAAAAUAAUUACAAGUAAAAUCACAAAAAAAAGAUAAUAUUCAUAGGACUAAAUUGAUUUUAUAAUAAAUUAACAAUAGAUAAAAAGAACAUGCUUUUGUGUAGAGAAAAUGCAUAUACAAAUGUAUAGAUUUAGAAAUAUAUAUAGAAUAUGUGUGCUAAUAUAAACAAGUAUAAAAAUAAUUUAAACUUUACGCAGUAUAUAUAUAUAAUAUAUUAGAAUAACAAAAAGGGUUAAAGUGCAUGGAUAUCACCAAAACAUUAGGUGUACAAAAUGAUAUUAAUUUUAUUUUAAAGUAUGUACACACAUAUAUAUAUAUAAGAGCAUUUUAAACAAACAAAUUAGAAAAGGAAGUAAAUAUAGAUGUUAACAUAUAAAUAUACAUAUGCAUGUGUAUUAGUGAUAAUGUGAACAACAAAUAAAUUUUCGAAGAUAAAAGGGUUUCAAAGAAUAAAAUGUUGAAAGUAACGAAUAAAUACAAAAAAAAACUCAAUUGAAUCGAAAAUAAAACUAAAAGACCAAUUUACAAAUAAAUAAAAGCAAUAAAUCAUAACUAAGGAUUAAGACCCAACACGCACGAAUGUUUGAGGGCUAAGGAAUCAAUUGUUCCGAGAUGCGAAAACGCAGUGUUCAGUUAUGGGCUAAAUUGAAAAUAUGCGCUUAUUCUAGGGCUAAAUUAAAAAAGGGAAAUAAGGCAAAUAACAAAUGAUUGAACCGCCAUGCAAAUAGGGAGGACCUAGCUUGCAAAUAAUCCUUCACCGCAGAAAAACACGCGGGUCAUCGGGUUUGGAAACGAAUCGGGUCAGGCUUUGAUGUCAAUACGACAUCGUUUGAGGUCUUAUAAAAGGGCUCAAUCAGCAGAUUAGGCCAGCCCCCAAACCUUAGCCUCCAUUUUACUCCCUUCGGUCGAACCUCGACCCUCCGUCUGCCAUGCCGAUCCACCGUAAUGAACGGAGAUCAGCCUGUUCGAGCCUCAAGGUGGUUUCCUUUCCGCCUUCCACUCCCCUCGGACUUCGAUUUCGGCGAAGCAAAGGAGAUCUCACGGCGUAUUUACGAGGUGAAGUUUCAUUUCCCUCUUUUCCUUUUUAUUGUCUUAGAUGCGAAAAAUAAGGAAAGAAAAUCGAAAGGAAUAGAUCAAGUGAAAAAUAAACAAUAAAUCCAAAGAUUCAAAGAACGGGAAUCACCUUCCUCUUUUUUCCUUGCUUUGUAUUCAAAAUCUGUGUGUUUUUUUUUGCGUAUCCUCUUUUUACAACGAUUACAGAUCCUAGCUUUUAUAUCCGGAAAGAAGAAAGAAAAAAAAGAAUAAAAAGAAUUCGACAUUUGUUCUUUGUUUUUUUUCUGCUCUAUGCUGCUGUUGCGUUUGUCUUGUUCACAGGUACGGAGCAAAGCGCGUCUACGGGGGUCGUAUUGGCGCUUGGCGUGGGUGUACAAGGGCUGUUGACGUGGAGGCACGAGCAUACGGCGCUGGGGCUGGGGCUCGUUUGUGGUUGGGGUGCGGAAGUGAUGAGGACGCUCUAGGGUUUCCUUUCUCAGAACACUGGGCCUAACGGGCUAGUAAUUGAUAUUGGGCUGUAAGGCAUUAGUUAUUGGGUCAUUGGUUAUGUAACUGGGCUUUAUUGUUGGCAUGUAAUUGGACUGUUAUAAAACUUGGGUUUAAAAAUUUUUUGUUUAUUGAUUUAUCUUGUAUUUUGUUUUGGGUUUUUUGUGUUUGUUUGGGCCGGGCCAAUUUGGCCCAUUAC
rnacentral:lncRNA from 1 species